UAGGGAAUCUUCGGCAAUGGACGAAAGUCUGACCGAGCAACGCCGCGUGAGCGAAGAAGGCUUUCGGAUCGUAAAACUCUGUUGUUAGAGAAGAACAAGGACGUUAGUAACUGAACGUCCCCUGACGGUAUCUAACCAGAAAGCCACGGCUAACUACGUGCCAGCAGCCGCGGUAAUACGUAGGUGGCAAGCGUUGUCCGGAUUUAUUGGGCGUAAAGCGAGCGCAGGCGGUUUCUUAAGUCUGAUGUGAAAGCCCCCGGCUCAACCGGGGAGGGUCAUUGGAAACUGGGGGGCUUGAGUGCAGAAGAGGAGAGUGGAAUUCCAUGUGUAGCGGUGAAAUGCGUAGAUAUAUGGAGGAACACCAGUGGCGAAGGCGGCUCUCUGGUCUGUAACUGACGCUGAGGCGCGAAAGCGUGGGGAGCAAACAGG
rnacentral:rRNA from 1 species